rnacentral:rRNA from 1 species
CAGCAGCCACGGUAAUACGUAGGGUGCAAGCGUUGUCCGGAAUUAUUGGGCGUAAAGAGCUCGUAGGCGGUUUGUCGCGUCUGCUGUGAAAUCCCGAGGCUCAACCUCGGGCUUGCAGUGGGUACGGGCAGACUAGAGUGCGGUAGGGGAGAUUGGAAUUCCUGGUGUAGCGGUGGAAUGCGCAGAUAUCAGGAGGAACACCGAUGGCGAAGGCAGAUCUCUGGGCCGUAACUGACGCUGAGGAGCGAAAGCGUGGGGAGCGAACAGGAUUAGAUACCCCCGUAGUCCCUGUCUCUUAUAC